UACGAAGGGGGCUAGCGUUGUUCGGAAUUACUGGGCGUAAAGCGCACGUAGGCGGAUACUUAAGUUAGGGGUGAAAUCCCGAGGCUCAACCUCGGAACUGCCUCUAAUACUGGGUAUCUCGAGUUCGAGAGAGGUGAGUGGAAUUCCGAGUGUAGAGGUGAAAUUCGUAGAUAUUCGGAGGAACACCAGUGGCGAAGGCGGCUCACUGGCUCGAUACUGACGCUGAGGUGCGAAAGCGUGGGGAGCAAACAGG
rnacentral:rRNA from 1 species